rnacentral:lncRNA from 1 species
CGUACGGGUAUAAAUGCAGUAGCGUAAAUAGCAACAUCGUCACUGGUAUAAGAAAGGGACAGAGUGGUCGGUGGUGGACAUAUUGACUAAUCUACUAGAUUAAGAGAAAGUCCAAUUAACUAGAAUAGAAAAUGAAUAAGUAAUAUGAUGCUACUCACCAACAGUGCAUGGGAAUAGAUGCAGCAAAUAAUUCACUUUAUUUCAGAGAAAGCCAUCUGAUAAAUUGAAUGCUUACUGAUUCUACAGAACAAGGGGAUGAAACUCAACCAGUACGAUAAAUAAUUGUCUCACUGGCAAGUUAUAGAUUAAAGUUUAAGUAACAGGAGGAAUAGCCGAAGUUGUAUCCCUCACACUGCACGACAACUAAUGUCCACCAUUUCUUUACCUUACAUAGGGCACUUUAGGCAUGAGGAAUAGCAACAGAAGCAGUUGAUGUCUACAAACCUUCCAUCACCGCCUAAGACUACAGAGCUGGUUAGUUGAAAAAGGCAUCAUCCAACGUAGCUCACGGCUGGCAAGGCAACGUCAUCAGGAACUUAUGGAUUAGUUGAUGAAAGGAUUGUUCCGCCUCUUGGAGAUGGUCCAAGGCAUAGUUCCAUUUCAGACUGCCCUUUGCCCUGGCUUUGCUCUAUGAUCCAACUGGUGCCCUUUAAUUGCUCGGCUGUCAGAGGUUUUAACCAGCUCUGUUCACGCAAUAUUUUUCAGGGUUUGUCUAGGCUUGCUGUUUACAUGUUUGGAGGUGGUCUUGGUGCCUGGGGGUCUUUGGGUCUUUUAAUUCGAUAGUAUGGCAAUAGGCAAUAGGUAAACCGAUUCACUGGUAGUCGAUAGGUAACAACUGAUGGAGAUAGGUGCAACAAUUCAUUGUAUUUCAGCUAGCCAUGCGUGGUAAACUAAAUGUUUCCCGAUGCAAGAGAAGUAGUUCAACUACUUCUUUCUCGGGCCAGUCAAAGCAAAGGAAUCAUUUCAACUACUUCUCUCAGGCCAGUUAAAGCACAGAUGACACAAACCAACAUGUGGAUUAUAGAUAGGUGCAUAAGUCUGAAAAGUGCCCAUAUCUCGAUUUAGUAUACACUCGUACAAAGCUAUCGCACACAGGAUACAUGACUAAUAAGUUAAUCAAAUUCAGCACCUAGCUAGCUCAACAAGGCAAACUUUAGGCAUGACACGCAUGAGGAAUAGGAGGCCCACCUACAGCCUAACCUUGCUAACUAGGUAGGUCACAGCAGAGUAGGUCAUCCGAUGGCGCUUCGGCUCAAUUUUAGUGUCCACUUGCAAAGCUGAACUUUCCCAAAUGUAGUAGAUCACUUUAGUCAUUCACUGACCAUCAUCUGGCCCUGGCCAUGCAUAGUCGGCCAUAUCAUGGUUUCAGCGGUGGUCCCGGCUGGAUGGCUUCACGAGUUCACGACUGUUGUGGUUUAAGCUGGUAUAUAUUUUUUUUUGGUAGGGGUUGGCCUUUGAUGAUUCAUGUACAAAAAAGGCAGAAAUUGCGUGCUCUACUAAUUGGAGAUAGGACCGUGUGUAUGCUGGCAAGGUUUUUAUCUGGGUCGUCGUUGACAUGACCCGUCCUGAAGAUUAACAAAAGUGUCCAAGCUAUUACAUCCCUCAAUUUGGUUUCCUAGCUUUGUGUAUGCAUGAUAAUAGACUGUGAUUUGCAGUGUCGAGUAUACUAAACAAAAACUCUACUUUUC